AGAGUUUGAUCCUGGCUCAGAUUGAACGCUGGCGGCAUGCCUUACACAUGCAAGUCGAACGGUAACGCGGGGCAACCUGGCGACGAGUGGCGAACGGGUGAGUAAUACAUCGGAACGUGCCCAGUUAGUGGGGGAUAGCCCGGCGAAAGCCGGAUUAAUACCGCAUACGACCUACGGGUGAAAGCGGGGGACCGCAAGGCCUCGCGCUAUUGGAGCGGCCGAUGUCAGAUUAGGUAGUUGGUGGGGUAAAGGCCUACCAAGCCUGCGAUCUGUAGCUGGUCUGAGAGGACGACCAGCCACACUGGGACUGAGACACGGCCCAGACUCCUACGGGAGGCAGCAGUGGGGAAUUUUGGACAAUGGGCGCAAGCCUGAUCCAGCCAUGCCGCGUGCGGGAAGAAGGCCUUCGGGUUGUAAACCGCUUUUGUCAGGGAAGAAAUCCUUUGGGCUAAUACCCUGAAGGGAUGACGGUACCUGAAGAAUAAGCACCGGCUAACUACGUGCCAGCAGCCGCGGUAAUACGUAGGGUGCAAGCGUUAAUCGGAAUUACUGGGCGUAAAGCGUGCGCAGGCGGUUGUGCAAGACAGGUGUGAAAUCCCCGGG
rnacentral:rRNA from 1 species